ensembl:snRNA U6 U6 spliceosomal RNA
GUGCUUGCUUCAGCAGCACAUAUACUAAAAUUUGAAUGAUGCUGAGACUAUUAGCAUGGCCCCUGCUCAAGGAUGACAUGCAAAUUUGUGAAGUGUUUCAUAUUAAA